rnacentral:rRNA from 1 species
AGAGUUUGAUCCUGGCUCAGAACGAACGCUGGCGGCGCGUCUAAGCAUGCAAGUCGAACGGCAAGGCGGGAGCAAUCCUGCCCGAGAGUGGCGAACGGGUGAGUAACACGUAGGUGAUCUACCCGAAGGUUGGGGAUAGCCCGUGGAAACACGGAUUAAUACCGAAUGAGGUCCCUCUGCUGUAGCGGAGGGAAGAAAGGGGCUUCACGGCCCCGCCUUUGGAUGAGCCUGCGGCUGAUUAGCUAGUUGGUGACGGUAACGGCCCACCAAGGCGAUGAUCAGUAGCCGGCCUGAGAGGGUGUACGGCCACACUGGAACUGAGAUACGGUCCAGACUCCUACGGGAGGCAGCAGCUAAGAAUCUUCCGCAAUGGACGAAAGUCUGACGGAGCGACGCCGCGUGGACGAUGAAGGCCGAAAGGUUGUAAAGUCCUUUUCCUGGAGAAGAAUAACCACAGGAGGAAAUGCCUGUGGGAUGACGUUACCCAGGGAAUAAGCCCCGGCUAAUUACGUGCCAGCAGCCGCGGUAACACGUAAGGGGCGAGCGUUGUUCGGAAUUAUUGGGCGUAAAGGGCGUGCAGGCGGUCGUGCAAGUCUGGUGUGAAAGGUUGGAGCUUAACUCCAAACGCGCGCUGGAAACUGCAGGACUCAUGAGUGCCGGAGAGGAAGCUAGAAUUCCAGGUGUAGGGGUGAAAUCUGUAGAUAUCUGGAAGAAUACCGGUGGCGAAGGCGAGCUUCUGGCCGAGCACUGACGCUGAGGCGCGAAAGCGUGGGGAGCAAACAGGAUUAGAUACCCUGGUAGUCCACGCUGUAAACGAUGUACACUAGGUGUUGGGGAGUUAUCCCUGGUGCCGGAGCUAACGUGUUAAGUAUACCGCCUGGGGAGUAUGCUCGCAAGGGUGAAACUCAAAGGAAUUGACGG